rnacentral:rRNA from 1 species
CACGAACUGUGCAAACGUUAUUCGGAAUCACUGGGCUUAAAGAGUUCGUAGGCGGCAUGUCAAGUCGGGUGUGAAAUCCCUCGGCUCAACCGAGGAAUUGCGUCCGAAACUGGCGUGCUUGAGUGAGAUAGAGGUGAGCGGAACUGAUGGUGGAGCGGUGAAAUGCGUUGAUAUCAUCAGGAACACCGGUGGCGAAAGCGGCUCACUGGGUCUCAACUGACGCUGAGGAACGAAAGCUAGGGGAGCGAACGGG